CCCCGGCCCAGCGCCGCCGGAGGCCGUGAGGCCCUCACUUCAAAGACCCCGGCCCCGGGGAGCCCAGCUGUUGACCCCAGGCUCAAAGUCCUAGGCUGACCCCUGACCCUCGCCCCGGAAGUCGGGGUGACGCGGAAGUUCCGGCUCGGUAGCUAGGAAACGAGCCAGCCCGACGCCAGGGGCGGAGCUCUGGCCUCCUGGCCAAGUUGGGGAGGCAGGUAAGGCAGGAGAAUGCACAGUAAGAAGAGGGGACCAAAAGCUGCAGCUGAAAAGUGGCAGACGCCCCACCCUGGGCCCAAGUCGGGAGCCGUUGCUGGGAAGCCCGGGGAGAACCAUCCACCACAGAGGAAAGCAGACAAGCAGGUGAGGCAGCCUGAGCCUGCUGAGAGCCCUGAGGCCCCCACAGGGCCGGCCGCGGAGGACCGAGCGGCCAGGGCGAUCCAGGGCGCCUUCCGGCAGCUCCGGGCCAGGAGGGAGCUCGCCCGCCGCCGGGAGGAGCGCCGGGAGUACCUGGAGCAGAUGGAGAAGCUGCAAAGGGAGGCCUAUCUGGCCCUGGUGCGCCGAGAGCAGGAGGCCGCGCGGCGGCGGCGCGAGCAGGAGGCGGCGGCGCAGCGGGAGCGGCGGGAAGAGCUGCAACGCCGCCGCCGCCUGCUGGACGCCGCCUUCGACGGGAACUUGAGCGAGAUCCGGGCGGUGCUGAAGGAGGUGGAACAGCUGCUGACCCGCGAGGGCGUGGGCCACGACGAGGCGGGCAACGCGCGGCGGCUGCAGCGACGCGUGGCCCUGGUGGAGUGCGAGGACAGCAACGGGAACACGCCGCUGUCCGAGGCGGCCGCGGGCGGGCAGCCCCUGGCCAUCCAGCUGCUGGCUGAGCUCGGUGCCAGCCCCAACAGCAAGGGCGCCUUCGGUCGGACGCCGCUAUACCGCGCAGCCUUUGCGGGCCACCUGGAAGCUGUGGAGGUGCUUCUGAAGCUCGGAGCAGACCCACGGGUGUACGCAGAGGACGGGAGCACCCCUGAGCAGGUGGCCUCGCUGGAUGCGGUGGUGAACGUGCUGCAUUCAUGGGACCUGAGCCUCACAGAGGCCAUGCUCCAGAACAUGGAGGCAGAGCAACAGCGCCGGGCCCAGGAGGCCAAACGGCACAAGGAGGCCGAGGCUGAGCGCAUGACCCUCAAGGUCCAACAGCUGGCCAGGGAGCAGCAACAGUGUCACAAGGAGCUGCAGCAGGCCUACUGUGAGCUGAGCCGGAGGAUCUCGGAGCACGACCAGUGUGAGUGGCGGCACACGGACAGGACUGAGCUGAUGCUGCAGGCCAUUAAGGAUGCAGAGGACCAGGUGGAGAGGCUGCAGCAGGAGGCCCAGAAGGCUGAGGAGGCGCUGGCUCUGGCCAGGCUGGCACUGCGGGAACAGACGCAGGAGGGGGAAGAAGAGGUACAUGGGCUUAAGUGCCAGGUCACCGAGCUGCAUGAUGUGCUGAUGAAAGACGUGGGCAACCGCAUCCGAGCUGACGGCCGGCCAGGCGGCUACCUUCCUGCGCUACCAGGACACCAACUAUGUGGACACGGUAAACCCGGAGCACCUGAGGCCAGAGAGGAUGCGCCUGGCUCUUCUGGGGGCUCUGCGGUGAGGCAGGCAGGGCAUCAGGUACACCCACCCCACCCCCCAGCCCUACCCUGCCUCAUCAGCCUCCUGGGGCAGGUAUGGGAAGCCUCUGGUGUUUGAUCUGCGCGAGGUGGACCUGUUCCCAGCUGUGCAGCGGCAGCUGGAGGCGGUGCAGCCCGGCCUGGCACAGGCGCUGCUGAGCCGUGGCCUGCUGGAGCAGGAGAGGUACCUGUCACUGCUGCGGCCCACGGACGGGCCUGAGUACAGCCCCACGCAGUUCCAGGAGGCGCGCCUGGGGCACUUCCGCCUCUUUUUCGUCACCAAGGCCCAGCGGCCGCCGGCUGAGCAGCUGCAGGUGCUGCUCCCGGUGCGAGUGCAGCUGCCGGGCACAGGCCUCUAGCGCUGGCUCCAACCCCAAUAAAGUGUGUGCCCCAGGGCGCGGCGCCACCUCUGUGCUGUGUGUGUGAGAGGCAGGGGCACUGUGUGCAGUCCAGAGCCCAGCAGUGCUGAGCCCCAGAUGACCAACCCUGACCAGCGGACACAGGUUUGCAGGCACCUGGGGGAGGUCCUGCUGGGGACGGGCAGCCACGCAGCCUGUGCACAGUGAGGCGCAGUGUGAGAUGUGUGAGGGCGGGAGGAUGCGGCACUUGGAGCUCAGCCUGGCCUUGGUGGGCAGGAGGCGUCUGUGCCAGUGGGUGGGGGUGGACAGACAGAGGGGAGGUAAAAUGUAGUCACUUUAUUCUUCUGAAGCCACAAAAUAGAGUCUUUGGUUGUACAAACAUCACUAGUUACAGUCUCGCCGAUGUCUCGGCUGGGGUGGGGCAGUUAGUCAGAGGCUGGAACUCCUGCGGGGUCUCUUUAAAAUGCUAAAACCCAGGUUAAAAGACUCAGGGUAAGGGUGGUGCUGGAGCUGGCAGGGCCCCCACCCCAAGUCUGGGGGAGGCACCCGCUCCUCUAGGAGGGCACAGGGCCCAGGCCACGGCGCCCAGGCCUUAUAGGGCGGCGGCUGCUGCACAGCGCCACAUCUUCGGGGCCCACAGUGCCGGGUGAGGGCCGGCCCAGAAGCACCAGGGCCACUUCUCCAUCUUCCUCCUGUGGGCCUGGGGGGCAGGGACAGGGCGGGCAGUGAGCUGAGGGCAGCCGGGCUCCGGGGAGCUCACCCCGCACCCAGCCCCAACUCACCAGGGCUGGGAGAUGGUUCCAGGGAUCUCAACUCCUCAGCAAAGUCCGGCGACUGUGAUGGGGAGAGUGUUGGUCAGGCCAGCGCCAGUCCUGCCCCAAACCACCCACGUGGACAGGUGUGCUCCCAGCCCUGAGGCCCACAGAGCCCAGCUGACGGAGGGAGGGGAUGGAGAGGCGGGGCGAGGGCAGAGUGCGGGGAGGCCCUGCGGGAGCAGACAGAGGCAGUGGCAGACACAGGCAGGGUGGCAGGCAUGCAGAGGCCUGGAGGCCGGGUACCUGGAUGUCAUAGACAGGUCUGGAAGAAGGCAGGGCUGCAAAGGCCCUGUAGUCAAACUUCUUUCCAGACAAAGGCUUGAAAGGACAGCGUGAGGGGAGAGGCAGAGAGAGGAAAGGGGUGAGGGCCACAGGGGUGGGUGCAGGCCAGACCCCCCCAUGUCUCGGGGGUGAAGGGCGGGCACAACCACCGGCUCCUCACCAGGCGUCCCGGGGAGGUGCUGGUCUGGGGGCCGAGGUCUGGGGGGACAAGAAGCGAGUGUUGGAAGCGGCCCAUGCGGCAGGCUGACCCCCCAACCUCCCAGACCCACGGACCUUCCACAGGGGUGGGUGACGGGGUAGGUGCGGGGGAAGGGGCCUCGGCCAGACGCUCCAGGGGCCCCCGAGUGCCCCGGCCCUCCUGGGACCUGCUGAGGACCAUCUGUGCUCGGAGAGCGUCCUGCUCCAGCGACUUCAUCCUGCGGAGACCAGCAAGCCUGGGUCAUCGGCACCCACCAGGGACACGCGCUUAGGGGGGCCCUCGGCCUGGGGCAUGCGCACCUCCAGCUCAAAGAGCCUCCGCCUCCAGCCUGCACCCUCAGCCUGGGCAGCACCCCAAUAGCAGGUGAAGCUCACACACCACACCGGCCUGCUCGGGGCAGGAGUAACUGCAGGGGAAACCUGGCUGACCCCGGUUCAGAGCAUCAGCAGCGGGGCCUGGUGAGCGGCGUGGAGACACGUGGCUUCUCCGCCACCAAGAUGCACAUGCUGAAGCCCGUGAGGACAUCAGACCCAGCGUGGGGACAAUCACAGUAGGGAGGGCCUGUGCCCACCAGACACAUCAAGGUCUGAGGAAUCAGCGAAGACAGAGGCAGGCUCCGACGGAAGGAGACUACGGGGUGCAGCGGCCAAACCCCACAGGGACCGAACUGUGCCCUUCCGCAAAGGAGCGCGUCCCCGGCAUGGUGGGUGGGCCAGGAAUAGGCCUGAGUGUCACAGGUUUGUCCUGUGUUUGCAACUUUUCUCUGAGUUUAAAAUUCAUUUAUGUAUGUGCUUAUAUUUUUCAAAAAGAAACAAAUGGCAGAAUAAACCAAACGUAAUAAAGCUGGUAGCCUUGGAGCUGAGAUGGA